UAGACUAUACAAGACAAGCCCAAGACAAUACCAACAAGCCCAUUACUAUGUUAUAAAGCUAUGUGUGUUAGGGUUCCUUUACAAGUAGACUAGUAGUAUAAAUGUGAUUGUAAUGUGAUGAACAAAGUAACUUUGGCUGCGUUGAAUGCAGCCUCUCCUUUCAUAUUUAUGAAUCAUUUACAAUCUUACUUAUCUUGGUGACAAACAUAAAGAUUCUUAGUUUCAUUGCACAAUAAAGCUUCUUAAAACUAUUUCAUUUUCUGUGUCAAUAAGCUCUUAUGAGCAGAAUCUAUGUUGUUUUGAGUUUAUUCACAUGGUAUCAGAGCUGCAGUCGAUCAGGGAUCUACAAAUUUUUAUUUCUUGCUCUCAAGCUUCUGCUCGUUUCUGUUGAAGAAGUUUCGUGGCUUACAAAAAAAAAAAACAGAGCUUUGUCUGAGAAAGAAGAACCUGCGAGAAGACCAAGCCUCUCAACGUUGCCCUGCCCAAGCCUCUCAACACUGUCACUUUCCAUAACUAAAGCUUCAAACUUUUAAUCCAUGAAGAUUCAGAGGGUCUUGAAGAAGGAACAAACGACCAUUUUCUACCCCUGAAGCUCCAAGGAUUUAGUGUUUUCUCGAUCCAAGCAAGCAGAGAAACAAGACAUGAGCUUUAUUUGAAGAAGAAGAGUUUGGUUCAUCUGAAGAAGAGUCUGAGUCCUCAAGCCGUUGAUGUUCAGUCGUUGACACGUUUCUCUAAAGUCAGAACCUUUGAGAGUGCACGAAGAUUGAAGAGUCUGAGUUUCGAAGGGAAACGUUUCACGUCAUACAUCACGUGUCAUGAGUGGCCAGAGAUCAAGCGGACUAGAGGCAUCACAUACUUCAUCGCUGGAUGGAAGAAGUCUUCAAACCAAAAUAUCUAUGGUAAUAUUCGUGAUCUCUUAUUAGACAUGGUUUGAGAUGGAUAUUGGCUGGUUUAGAUUCGUAGGUCUGGAACUCAGAAAGUUAGAUGAGAUAGACUGUGAUUGAUUGGGCUGAUAAGGGUGUGUUUAGAUAAGCAAGUUAGGGUCGGAUAUGCUGAAUGCACACAACCUGUUCGAUGAAAUGCCAAAGAGAAUGAACUGCAAUGUUCUAGUUGGUUAUUGGAUGGAAAAUAGACAGUGGGUAGGAUUGAAGUUGUUGUGGGAAAGUCCCUUUUGUAUCAGACAAAUUUGUUGAGUUACAUGGGUCAUGAAAGAACCCGGACUCUUUGUGAGAAAGAAAGGUCACAAUGUACCUCUGAGUGAGAUCGACUAAGCUCUCCAAGUUCAAGAGAAACCUCUGAGUGAAGCCAUGCGAUACUCUCCAAGUAUAGACCAACAAUCUCUUCUAUGUGGUGAAUUGAAGAUUACACCUAUAGCUCCAUUUGAUCAUGCUUCCACUACCUACUCCCCAAGCCAUUUGCAUUUGCGGUUCAAACUCAGCAUCUUGCUUUCACCUGACGCUAAGUUUGCGGGAGAGUAUUAGACUAUACAAGACAAGCCCAAGACAAUACCAACAAGCCCAUUACUAUGUUAUAAAGCUAUGUGUGUUAGGGUUCCUUUACAAGUAGACUAGUAGUAUAAAUGUGAUUGUAAUGUGAUGAACAAAGUAACUUUGGCUGCGUUGAAUGCAGCCUCUCCUUUCAUAUUUAUGAAUCAUUUACAAUCUUA